GCACUGCUGAGGAGUCCCACAACAGGACGAAUCAACCGUCCAGUGC
rfam:Schistosoma curassoni strain Dakar, Senegal genome assembly, scaffold: SCTD_scaffold0001193